rnacentral:rRNA from 1 species
AACGAACGCUGGCGGCAUGCCUAACACAUGCAAGUCGAACGUGAUCCUGGGUUUCGGCCUGGGUGAAAGUGGCAGACGGGUGAGUAACGCGUGGGAACCUGCCCUGUGGUAGGGAAUAACUGCGGGAAACUGCGGCUAAUACCCUAUGUGCCCUGAGGGGCAAAGAGUUAUCGCCAUGGGCGGGGCCCGCGUGGGGUUAGGUAGUUGGUGGGGUAACGGCCCACCAAGCUUUCGAUCCGUAGCUGGUCUGAGGGGAUGAUCAGCAGCGCUGGGACUGAGAUACGGCGCAGACUCCUGCGGGAGGCAGCAGUGGGGAAUAUUGGACAAUGGGCGCAAGCCUGAUCCAGCCAUGCCGCGUGAGUGAUGACGGCCUUAGGGUUGUAAAGCUCUUUCACCCACGACGAUAAUGACGGUAGUGGGAGAAGAAGCCCCGGCUAACUUCGUGCCAGCCGCCGCAGUAA